AAAACGUAUCGAACCAACAUUAAUGAAUUUUUUUUUAUUGUCAACUCAUUAUUUCACCAUUUUUUGAAGACUACUUCUGCAGAAAACGUUCAAGAUAAGUAAAGAUUAAAAGAAUUUGAAACAUCUCGAAGAGUUUAUUUGCUACAAUUACUCUCUUCUAUUAGGGUUUUUCUAUUUAGCUUCUCAUACCCAAUUUCCUAUAUUUUCUCGACUCACUGGAUAUCUUAAGAUAGAAAGUCAGGAGGAACGCAAGAGAGAGUUCAGAUCUCCGCUAAUAAUUCUUGAAUGGUGGUGUCUCAGCGUAAUCGCUAUACAGUAGGGGAGGGAGGAAUUGGUACUGUAAUUAUAGGAUUUUUCAAAAUGUUUUUGAUUGAGAUUUCUUCUGCAAUGGCAUACGUUGUUUAAGAGAGACAAUUGGAUAGUGGAAGCAUGGCUAAAGAGGAGCUGCAAAAAUGGGGACUAAGGCCGAUGAAAGAAGUUGUCAUAAGCUGCACUAACCAAGAGUAAAUCAUUGGAGAAAUGAAAAAAACCUUGCCGGAAAUGCCUUGGGGGUUAACAAGAACUGGCAUGGUGGCUUAUUUUGCGGUGCUGGUAGUGGUUGUGGCGGCAGUGUGGUGAUAGACGUCGUGGGAGCGUCAGCAAUUUAGGAUAUGAUUUUUGUCAAGACUGAUGACUUUCAGACUGAUUAUUUUGCAAGAAUUUUGCAAGAAGGUUUAUAUCAAAGUUGAUGGUUAUAUAUGUCGCUAUAAAGAAAACUCCCAUGCGAUUCUUCACUUUAUUCGGGAUAAGAGGAUGCAGACAAAUAUGUUGCAAGUUUCUAAUACCCUAAACAGACAGUAAGGUGGGCCUAGGAGAAGAUAGCCUCCAAUUUUCGUUAGUUCUAUAAGUGACCAAACCAUUGGUGAUUAACGAAGUGAACAGAGGACUACACGGUGAAGAUAGUCUCCAAUUUUCACACUUAUUGACAGUGAACUACACGGUCACCACAGAGCCUUCAAAGAGGAUAUUAUAGUUGUCUUUCCUCUGGUGGAUUAGCUCAAUAACGAAGUUCAUAUAUUUUGUUGAACGAAACUUUGUCUUCAUCCCAAUCUGCUACACAUAAUCUCCUCUUUCUUUUAGCUACAUUGUUGUUUCAUUGAAAUGCAAUACGUGGAACUAGAUAAAUAAAUCAAGUGUGAAUCAUUUUACCUAAAA